rnacentral:lncRNA from 1 species
UACAAACAACCUCAAGUUUAAUAACUAGAAUUACCUUUAAAGUAAUUUGUGUUGAUAACGUGUUGUAAAAUGGGAUAAAAACAACACAAAUAAAAGUAAAGACAACUAUAUAUUACUUUAACAAUAUAUAUAAUAGGGAGGAAGGAAUCAGAGACGAGAAAUGAGAGAGUUGAUAGAAUGAAAGAAAGAAAAAAAAUAAGAGAACGAGAGAAAGAGAUGUUACAUUAUGAUUAUUUAAUGUUUGUAUUUAUACCAAACCUCUGAACACUGUAAAUAUUUUCCUACCGUCCAACCUCUUGAAUUUAAUUCUCACUUGUCACAUGUAAAUACUUUGCCUAUAAAUUAGUGGUAAUAAAAGAAAAGAAGUGUGCCCGAGAAAGUGUGUGAAGGUGUGUGCAACAGUGUGUAAAGUUGUAUGUGAAAGAAAGCUGUAUCUUCAGCCUUGUACAUUUAUCAGCAAUCAAUAAGAAAGUAAGAAUUUUCUAUUAAAUUUCUACCUUCAUUUAGAAUUUAUUUUAUUAUGUAUUUUUCUUACCCUUAUGAGGUAAAAGGGGUAAAAAGGUAAAGUAGGUAAAUUAAAAUUAUUUGAAUUAUUUUUAAGUUUUCUUUACUAGUUAAUAUAUGUAAUAUACAUGAAUCCUUUUUAUAUAAUGUUCUCAUCAACAUAAAAAAAAAAAAAAAAAUCAGGUUAUUUAGAAAAUUUUGGGUGUAAAAUCAUGUUUUAAAAUUAGAGUCUUUAGUCUUAACCCUUGACCUGAAACCUGUUUUUGCAGGAAAAUUGGCGUGUUAGGGAGACUAUGUCUGGUCAGAAGGGGGGUAUUACCUUGACACGAAGUGAUGUUUUAAAAAUUUUGAAUUUUGUUACCUGAAUUUUUGAGAUAUCCGAUUUCAAAAACUUAACUUUUAUACAUUAAAUGGUUUCACACUAUAAGCACAGACGCUUAAGUUAAAUAUAUAUUAAAAUAAUAAUUGUUUGAAAAUAUUUAUAUUAUUUUAAUGAGUGUUUGAAAAUUUUAUAUUAAAAUAUUAAGUAUUUGGAAAUGUUUAUAUUAUUUUAAUGUUAGCAAUAAAUGUGUUCACACUUUAAUUCAAUAUAAAAGUUUCAUUAUUAACGGAGAUUUCAAAACCCCUAUUAUUACUUUGAUGAAAGUUUAAUGAAAGUUUUAUAUUGAAUUAAAGUGUGAACACAUUUAUUGCUAAUAUUAAAAUAAUAUAAACAUUUCCAAAUACUUAAUAUUUUAAUAUAAAAUUUUCAAACACUCAUUAAAAUAAUAUAAAUAUUUUCAGACAAUUAUUAUUUUAAUAUAUAUUUAACUUAAGCGUCAGUGCUUAUAGUGUGAAACCAUUUAAUGUAUAAAAGUUAAGUUUUUGAAAUCGGAUAUCUCAAAAAUUCAGGUAAUAAAAUUAAAAAAUUUUAAAACAUAACUUCGUGUCAAGGUAAUACCCCUCUUUUGACCAGACAGAGUCUCCCUAACACGCAAAUUUUUUGGCAAAAACGGGUUUCAGGUCAAGGGUUAAGACUAAAGACUCUAGUUUUAAAACAUGAUUUUACACCCAAAAUUUUCUAAAUAACUCGAUUUUUAUUUUUAUUUUUUAUUUUAUUUAUGUUGAUGAGAACAUUAUAUAAAAAGGACCCAUGUAUAUUACAUAUAUUAACUAGUAAAGAAAACUUAAAAAUAAUUCAAAUAAUUUUCAUUUCCCUACUUUACAUUUUUACCCCUUUUACCCCAUAAGGGUAAGGAAAAUACAUAAUAAAAUAAAUUCUAAAUGAAGGCAGAAAUUUAACAUAAAAUUCUUACUUUCUUAUUGAUUGUUGAUAAAUGUACAAGGCUGAAGAUACAACUUUCUUUCACAGAUAACUUUACACUGUUGCACACACCUUUGGACACACUUUCUCGGGCACACUUCUUUUCUUUUACUACCACUAAUUUAUAGGCAAAGUAUUUACAAGUGACAGGUGAGAAUUAAAUUCAAGUGGUUGGACGGUAGGAAAAUAUUUACGAUGUUCAGAGGUUUGGUAUAAAUAUAAAGAUGGUAAAAGUCUUCUGAGACUUUUGACUUUUGUUUAUUCAUCCGUUUAUCACUUUCUUCUCUUUCUCUUGUCCUUCUCUUCACAUGCAUAAUAUGUGGCUUGUGGAUGCCUUUACUGCUUCUGAACUUAUACUGCUACAUUGAAUUUUUGUAGUUGAAGACGCAUUUAUUGAUUCAUUCCCAAUUGGUGUCUUAGCUGAUUCAUGUCCUCUCAAUGGUCUCUGACAGUGGUGCCAUUUGAUUUGUGUCCAGCUGGUGUUCCUUGAUUGUGGUCCUCAGAAGGGAGUAAUCAACAAAAUUUAUAACCUAUAUCACAAUGCAUUAGGAUAGCCUUAGCUAAUAUAGCAUAGUGGCUCUAGGAUCGUUCACUGGGAAGGGUUUUCAACUUACAACUGAUAUCAAUUCAAAGUUGAAUUGGUGCUUUUUCAUUUCAAGGUUAGCUUAAGAAGAAAACAUAAACUUUGGUUGAAAAAAGUUUUGUUUUAAGCCAACUAAAAAGAAAGUAAUGGAAAUUACUUAUGAAGGAAAGCAUUCCUUGGAGUUUUAGGUUCACAGGGGAGGCUCCUCAUGCAAAAACAGAGCUCCGGUCACUUGAAUCUUUUCCUCGCAUUAGAGAAUUAACAUAUAGUUAAUUCUCUAACCGGUGUUGUACAAAUGUUUCCCUUUAAUGGAUUUCAGCACUAAUUCUCUCUCACUGAUGCAACUUGCAAUGGCUCGUGCCUCUCACCUAGCAUUUGCCAUUUAAGGUGAUCAUUAACCUUGGACUUUCCUUCUCAAGCUCGCAAGAGAUAACUAAUGGAUGUCUACUUGGAGUCCAAAAGCUUACCAAGUGUUGGCAAUUCUAGAAAAUCCUACCUUUAAGUCACCUCCCAAAAGCUCGCAAGAGAUAAACUAGUGCAUCUCCAUGGACGGAGAUCACUUGCAUUACCAAGUGUUGGCUCAGGUGAAUUGAAGGUGUUUUAAGUUAACUAAAAACAUAUAAAUCAUUAAUGAGUCACACUUUCUCUUCAUUAAUGGCUGAAACAACAAAAUUACCAAUUCUUGCAUUUGAGGCCUUACUUGGCAACCUUAGCUCCAAGGAACUAAAAGCCUAGCCACUCAUUCUCUGAGGAAACAUCCUCAGAGCUUGUUUGGCUAGUAAGAAAAAUUAAAUAAAUACAAUACAAUCAAAACGAGAAGGUAAGGCAGAGCAAAGGCUCUGUAUUUUACUUCCUUGCAAAACUGUACAAAGGAUGUCUGAGAACAAGCUCCUCGACCUCUCUCUGUAAUGAAAAUUACAAACAUUAUAUAAAAGGCUAUUUACCCUUUGUUCUUGCUUAAAGACUAAGGAAUCCUAUGAUAGGUGGAUUACAAGGAGAGUUUGGGGAUUUAGACAUCAAAUAUCUGAAGCAAAAAAUCUAAAAAAUGUUGGUCGCAAAUAUCGGGAGGCUUCAGGAGAAUUUCGUAGCCGUGCAAGAUGGCUGCAAAAUUUUGCAGCAUGAAGGACACCAUUUCGCAGCCAAAGGCUGAUUUCGCGGCCAUCCUCUUGUGAUUUCGCAGCCAAAGGCUGAAUUCUUAGCCCGUGAAAUUGGCCUUCAGCUUGGUGUGAUCGGCUUCCAAUGGUUGUAACUCCUUUAUUUCAACUUCGAAUCAUGCACCGUUUGAAGCGUUGGAUUGCUGACUUCCCGAGCUUCGAAACGACAUAGUAUGCAUAAUUUGAGCUCCAGGAAGUGCUCCAAAAGGGGCUGAAAGUUGCUAUCCUCUUGAAUACUUCAUGGUAGAUUUCUCUUUGCUGACAGUUGCUGUCCUCUUGAAUACUUCAUGGUAGAUUUCUCUUUGCUUCCCUUCCUUGCAUUCAUGAUUUGCUUAUGGCAAAUGGACUUUAAAGCUUCAAAGCUUUGGUUCUUCAUUUUUCUGAGCUUCCCAUUGCUUGGCCAUGGAUUCCAAAGAACUCUCCUCAAUCUCGGAUUGCUUUGGUGAUCAAAUUACUAACAAAAACACCAAAACUUACACAAUUUGAUUAGAAAUGAUCGCAAAUGUCCUUAAUAUGUUAAUUGAGUUAAAAGGUAAUAACUACUACUCAAAAGUGUUUAAAAGAGUUAAUUACAAGCUAUCAAAUAACACUUUUUGAGUAGUAAUCAUUUACCGCUUCAAUUUCGUCAUUGUUGACAUCAUCAUUCCAUUGCAUUUUUUAGAUUAUGAUAAUUUUCAUCGUCCAGGUUGUCCCAAAAUAAUGCGUCAUCGCUGAGGUAGGAAGAUGGUUCCGGUAUAUCUACACUGAGUUUGGUUAUAAAAUCCUGUUCUUCAGAAGUAAUAAAAGGUUUUGGAACAAUAAUGUGUUCUAAAGGUUUUACCCUCCAUAUAGACAUGGUUUUUGUUUCACCAAUGAGAUGAAAUAAUUUAUUCUGGGUUGGUUUAAGAUCACAGAUUUGAAAAGCUCUAAAGCGAAUAAAAAAUUCUAGAAAUUCAUUUGAAUGGGUCAUUUCCCAUUUUGGUUCUUGUUGAGGGAUGAGUGGUUCUUUAUUAUGUUUUAUAUAUACAUGAUGAUAGGCUAGUACUACUGAUCCAUCGGUUUGAAAUAAAGGUGGAAUGGUUUCAAAAGAAAUAUCUAUAUGUUUUUCGAUUUUAAAAAGAUAAGUUAAAAUAUCUUUCAAUUUUUUUUGGAAAAUUUCAGGGAUUUGAGAUAUAUGGUUCAUAAAAACAUUUUUUAAAAUUCCCUGAUCCAUGAGCUGCGGUACAAAAUAAAAGAUUUCUCUAUUUAUAACAGACAUAUUUACAUAAGCUAAAUAUAUAACAAAGAAAAAUUCAGGGUCAUGAUCUGCCAUAUACCUUGUUUUUAUCCCGACAUUUUUGGUUCUAAAAUGUUUAUACAAAAGUUUUUGAUUUUUAAACACUUUGUUAUAUUGAGUUUGUAGGAAAAAGGGUUUUGACUAAAGAGUAGUUAUCAACUCCAAUUAGGUUUUUAACAACAAGCUUUUCAUAUUGUUAAAUUAGAAGAGCUGAUUUCUUAAUUAGACUAAUUACUUGAGGUUGACUGUUCGAACAACUAGUUUGAUUGAUUGACAGUGUACUGGUUUUCAAAUCUUCUAUUAGUUUUUUUUUUGAAUUUCUUGGAUUUUGAGGUUUUGGAAUUUUUAGGUUUCUAAAGCAAUCAGUUGGUUAAAAAAUAAUUGAAAAUUUUCUAAGACUAAUAUUAUUGCUUUAAUUUCUAAGUUUGUAGAACUAAGGUUCUUUUGAUAAUCAUUAAAAGUUCCACUACAAUAUCUACAAAGUUUUUCUUCUCCUAUAUUAGUUAUUGCUAAAAGUAUACCUCCCCAUCCUGUUUGACUAGCAUCAGUUUGAACUAUUUUAUAUUCAUUUUCUAAGGGUAAAUGUAAGGUUGGGAGAUGUUUCACAAGUUCUUUUAUUUUCUGUAUAAGUUUAAUAUCUUCUUGGUUAAAAUAUCUCUGCCUUGUGUUUUUUGUUUUACUAUAAAGGGGUUUAGCUAAUCUACUAAGGUUUUUAAUACAUGGCCUAACAUAAUUUAAUAAUCUUAAAAAACUUUGAAGGGUUUUUAAGUCUUCGAGUUUAUCUGGAAAAUUAUUUAUUUUUUGUACUAUAUGUUCUUGCAAUUUUAUUUGUCUAUCCUCUAAUUCUAAUCCUAAAAAUUCUAUUUGAGUCUUAAAUAAUUUCAAUUUCUUUUUUAUUUACUAUUAAUCAAUGACUAAUUAGUUUUUCAAAAAUCAAUUCUAAAUGCUUUAUGUGUUCCUGAAGAGUAUAUAAAAAGACAAGAAUAUCAUCAAUAUAUACAAGAACAAAAGAAUAUUUACCAAAAAUAUUAUCUAUCAUUCGUUGGAAUAUCUAAGGAGCAUUUUUUUAGUCCAAAUGGCAUUACAUUCCAUUCAUAUAAUCCACAAGGACAUGAAAACGCUGUCCAUGGUUUACUAUCUUCUUCUAAUCUAAUUUGCCAAAAUCUACUUUUACAAUCUAACUGAGAAAAAUAUCUAUAUAAUGUGUAAAAACUAUAAAGAUGAGCAAAUAAUAGAGCAACUCUAUAAAACCAAUUUAAUUUAAAAAAUUAAAGAUAUAGAAACAAUAAAUCAAUUUACUAUUUAACCAAAAAUUAAAGAAAACGUAGAAAUAGUUUCAGAUGAGUCAGUAAAUACAAUAAAUGAAGAAAAACAAUUUGUAAAUGUAAAAAAUGAAAUAGUAAGGUAUAAUAAGCCGUACAAUAAGCCAAAACGGCCUAAAUGGAAAAAUAAAACAGAACCUUUUAGUUCUUUGUAACCAAUAUAUGAAUAUGAAACAAUAUUAGAUAUAGAUAGUGCACAAAAUCUUAGGAAAACUAUUGAAAAUUGGGAACAAUCUUUAAAUUCAGCAGGUAUAGUAGUAUCUUUUGAAAACCAACAAGAAAUUUAUGAUUUUGUAAAAGCACCCUUAGAGGAACCGUAUUACAAUUCUUUAGAAACAUGGAACAAGAAAACGGUAGCUAUUUUCAAGAAGUUAGAAAUAAUUUUAGCAUAUCUGUAUUUAUAAAUUUAAUAAAACUAUAUUUUUUAGGAACAACUCAAGAAGAUGUUAAAGAACCCACAAUAUAUCUCCAUAAGUUAGAACAAUUGAAGUUAUGUAACCUUUUGUAUAUAAGGGAAUAUGAACAAAAAUUUAGGAAAUAUGCAAUUCUUGCUAGAGUAGAUAAAACCCCUGAAUAUUUAAAUAAAUAUAUAUUAAAAAUACAAGGACCCAUAGGGCUUUGACUAUGUAAUGAAUUUACAACAUCCAAAUAUAAAAACUCUCCUUAUAUAGGUGCUAGAAUAGAAUUUGUAAAAGAUGUUUCACAAGUUCCUUUAUUUUUUGUACAAGUUUAAUAUCUUCUUGAUUAAAAUAUCUUUGCCAUUUGUUUUUUUGUUUUACUAUAAAGGGGUCCAACUAAUCUACUAAGGUUUUUAAUAUAUGGCCUAACAUAAUUUAAUAAUCCUAAAAAACUUUGAAGGGUUUUUAAGUCUUCGAGUUUAUUUGAAAAAUUAUUUAUUUUUUGUAAAACCUGAUUUUUCACCCAAAAUUUUCUAAAUAACCCGUUAUUUAUUUAUUUAUUUAUCUUGACAGGAAAAUUAUAUAUAAAAAGGAUCCGUGUAUAUUGCAGGUAUCAACUAGUAAAGAAAAACUGAAAAAUAAUUCAAAUAAUUUUCAUUUCCCUACUUUACCUUUUUACCCUUUUUACCCCCUAAGGGUAAGAAAAAUACACAAAAUAAAAUAAAUGCUAUAUGAAAGAAGAAAUUUAACAUAAAAUUCUUACUUUCUUAUUGUUGAUAAAUUUACAAGACUGGAGAUACAAAUGAUUGCUCCACUUGCUACUUUGCUCUCACUUUUUACACUCUUUUUUCUACACUCCUCCGGGCGCACCUUUCUUUCUUCUUCUACUACUAAUUUAUAGACAAACCAUUUACAAGUGACAGGUGAUAAUUAAUUCAAGUGGUUGGACGACAGGAAAAAUAUUUACAGGUUUGGUUAAUAAUAAGUACAAAGAUAAUAAAUACAAGGAUGGUAAAGUCAUUAUGAGGUUUUGACUUUUGGUUUUUCUUUAACCAUCCGUCUGAUACUUCUUCCACUUUCUCCUUGUCUUUUUCUUCUUAUUUCUGUCACAUACCGAAUACGUGGUUGUACAUGGCCUUCUUUUUGAACUUCUACUACUAUAUUAAAUUUUUGUAGUUGGAGACGCAUUUAUUGCUUCAUUGUUGUCAUUGCUGACAUCAUCCUUCCAUUGCAUUUUGCAGAUUAUGAUAACUUUCAUUGUCCAAAAAAAAUAAAAAAUCGGGUUAUUUAGAAAAUUUUGGGUGAAAAUUCAGGUUUUAAAACUAGAGUCUUUAGUGUUAACCCUUGACCUGUAACCCGUUUUUGUCGAAAAAUUGGCGUUUUAAGGAGACUCUGUCUGGUCAGAAGGAAGGUAUUACCUUGACACGAAGUGAUGUUUUAAAAUUUUGAUUUUUAUUACCUGAAUUUUUGAGAUAUCCGAUUUCAAAAACUUAACUUUUAUGCAUUAAAUGGUUUCAUACUAUAAACUGAGAGCUUUAGGUUAAAUAUAUAUAUUAGAAUAAUAAGUGUUUGAAAAUGUUUAUAUUAAAAUAAUAAGUGUUUGAAAUGUUUAUAUUAAAAUAAUAAGUAUUUGGAAAUGUUUAUAUUAAAAUAAUGAGGAUAAUAAAUGCAUUCACACUUUAAUUGAAUUUAAAACCUUCAUGAACGGAGAUUUCAAAACCCCUGCCAUUACCUUGACUGUGUGUCAACAACAAACUGUUGUUGAAACUGAUGUUGAUGGGAAAAGUUGGUAUUAGAGCUUCUCUAUGUAUUGCAGUAUAUUAAUUAGGAAAUGAGACUAUUGAUUCAAAUUAAUUUUCAGAGUACCGAACUAUCUUACCCCAUUAAAAGUCUAAUUAUAUUUGCUUGAUUUAUUCUGCAUCUUUAUUUAGUUUGCUUAUUUGAUAUGAAUUAAUGUCUUUUAUCCUUAUCCUCCUCGUAUAUAUAAUAUAGAUUAUGAUCGUGUAAAGGAACUUAAUAAUAGGUUGUAUGCUCAACGUAAAGAAUUUAGGGAAACUUGUGAUAAAUUGCAUAAUUUAAGAACUACUGUGAAAGAUUUAACCAAUGAUAUAAAAAACCUAACCUCUCUUAAAUAUUUGAACGAAUACGAAGUAGCUGUACAAGAAGCCUUUGAUGAACUUUUUGCUACAGAAACCCUAAUUAAAAGAGAAAUUAUAAAUUAUUAUAUUGAUAAUUUAUAUGCUAGUUCAUCUAAUUAGAAAAUAUUAAAAACUAAUGAACCCUCAUCUACAAACCCAAGAGGUAAAACAAUUAAAAUUUUUAGUAGAAACACAAUUAAAAAUAACAAAUGUAGUCUUACAAGAACAUAGGAAACAAAAUCAGGAAGAAAACAACACAGUCAAGGUAAUGGUAGAGGUUUUGAAAUCUCCAUUCAUGAAGGUUUUAAAUUCAAUUAGAGUGUGAAUGCAUUUAUUAUCCUCAUUACUUUAAUAUAAACAUUUCCAAAUACUUUUGAGAGCUUGCCCAACUAGGGUAGUUAGGAAUCAAUUUUACAUGAUGUAUUUUUAUUAUAAAUCAAUGAUAUUUUUUUUCUUCAAGUUUGUUUAUUUCACUAUUUUAAUUUAUAUAAUCAUCUUUGCAAAUAAAUUUCUUUUAUAAAUAAUUUUUUUAAGUAAAUAUAUUAAAGAUGGAAAAAUAUAAAGACAAAAUAGGAAAACAAAAUAUGAAAAAAGAUUAUUAUUUUUAAUGAUUUUAUCAUAAAAAGCUUUUUAGUUAUGUCAACCCUAAAACCAUGAAAGCCUCCCAUGAUUGGUUUCCUAAAAAAUUCAAAAGUUUCCCUAUUUAUAUGAAAGGGUUUCUAUAAAGCAAUUCAAAGAACUCAUCCAUGAAAAACUCAUUCUCCAUCUACUUAAAGUUAUCCAAUAUGGAAAGGAUUUCAAUUAUAAAAGCAUUUUUUAUAUUAUGUUUCAAUGUCAUUAAAUAAUGAAACCAAAAUAUAAACAUGUGAAAACCGAGGUACAAAACAAUGAGACAAAGGUACGUAGCAAUUAGACUUGUGUACAUAGCAAUGAGACCUAGGUAGAAAGUAAUGAGACCAAUGUACAAAUUAAUGAGAUCAUGGUAAUAAAUAAUGAGAACAAAGUACAAAGUUAUGAGACUAAUAGUACAAAGUAAUAGGUGUUAGGAUAAAACCCUUAAAAGUUUGACAUGAUAUAACAAAUUUAGAUUUAUUAUUUAUUUAAUAUGAUUAUGAUUUCUCUUUUAUCUUUUAUUCCAUCCACUAUACCUUAUGAGUAUUUUGGCCUGAUAUUUUUUGUAUUGUACAUGACUUGAGUACAUUAAAAGUUAUACAAAAGAUCCAAGUCAUUGGUUCCUUACAAAUAAAUAAUUUUUUCAUAAUUGGUCAAUGGACUUGGGUUAUCCAUUUGAUGUUGUAGUGCAUAACCUCCUAAUUGGAGGGGUGACUGAUCUUGGCCACCAAGAUGAGGUUAUCAUGGUGCAUGUACUAGUGUGUCUGGUUACAUAUUAGAUAGGACCUAUGAUGAGUUGUUAUCAUAUAGUCAUGACUUCACAAAGUUGUUAUACUGUGUGGUCUCUCAACCACAAGAGAAUAUUAAGCUUGUGUUGCCAAAGUUUGUAGUGGCUUUAACCACUGUUAAGAUCCUAAGGUGAUAAUAUAUUCUUUAUGAAUUUGGUCACUGUUAAUGGACAUCGUUAGAAUUAGGUAUUCUCUAUUAGAAAAUUAACUAAUCUAACCUAAGGUAAUCACCCUAGAGGGAGGUUGAAUAGGGUGAUGGUCUCUUUUUGAAAAUUUAAACUAUGUGAAUAUAAAAGAAAAUUAUAUGCAAGUAUAUAACAAAUGCAAUGAAAAAACAAUUGCAUGUAUAUUAAAAAGAUUAGGGAAGAGAGAAUUCAAAUACAAUAUUUUUAUAGUGGUUCGAUGGAACCCGACUUACGUCCACUCUCUUCUAGCUUCAAUCCUAAGCUUGAGGUUCCAUUGAUUCAAGGCUUCCAAACCAAGCAUUUAAGCAAUAGAAUUGGAUUAUGGUUCCAAUCAACCCUCUUGGACUUUUGGUUCCAAGCACCCUUUACAAUCCUCAAGUGCUAUCUCACUUUUGAAAAAUCUCCCAAGUGAUACUCCACACUUGGGAAUCCCUAUCACACUUAGAUUUUUCCUCUCAAAGAUUUAUAAAUCAGAAUAGAAAAUAUUCUCACAAAAUCCUAGUACAAAAUUUAGGUUCAAUGAUACAAGAUAAAUUAGGAUUGAAUGAUACACUAAUGAUAUGCAAGUUUUAGAACAAGGUGCACCAAAAAAGACUCUCCCAAGGCUCAAAUAUAUUAAAUAAAGGUUUAAGAAGGUUAAGCUAUUUGAAACAAUGAAAGUUGGAGCCUUUAAAUAGGGAAGUGAAGCCUAAACUAGUGUUAAACACAUUUAGGGGUAAACUAGUCGAGCACCAAUUCGAUUGAUUUAUUAGUUGUUAGCAUUUAAUGCUCAGACAGGUGACUAUUGGGCUUUUUGAGGUUCAACUAGACCUAGGCCGAACCUAGAUUGAGAGAGCAACCCUUUUGGAAGAGAGAAAACAUUUUUCACUCCUUGACUGGUCCUUAAUUAGGAAAGGGUAAUCGAUUGAUUGAUUCCCCAACUGGUUGAGUUGAUUUAGUCCACCCUUGAUCGGUCAUACCUUGUUUGGCUCAACAACAAACUUUUUUAACCUAAAAUAUUUUAAUCAAAUUUUAGAAGACAUUUAAUACAAGGUUUUAGUUGAGAACAAGAACCUCUCUCUGUUUCAACUUUUUUUUUCCUUCCUCCCUCACCUAGAUAUCUCCCAUACUCUAAAUCCCUCCACACCCUCUACAACUCCUCACGUUUUCCUUUUUUCUCAAGCUUCUACCAACUCCCCUACUCUUGGUUCAUCGAAAACGUCACCACCAACUCCACUACUUCAACCACCACCAUGGCAAGGUGGUCACAUCCUUCGCCACAUGUCCCAUGUAGCCCACCUAGAAGCCGUCUCCCACUCUAAAUGAAAAGUUUAGCCAGUGUCUCCGGGUGUGAGAAAAAUCUCUUAGUCCAAGAGGAGUUUACAAAUAUGCCCCUCUUUGGUAGAGUUCACAAGUGUAAGGAAUAUGAAUACUAGAGUGAAAAAAAAGUGUAAAUAGUGAGUGGAAAAAAGUGAACUCUACCGAAGAAAAAGAAAGACCCCCAAAAGUACACAAGUAGAACACAAACUCACUCAAACCAAUAAAGAACAAAAGGGACUCUAAAAUCCUAAGAGAAGGGUAGCUCUCAGAAUGCCUCUAAAGUUAAGCUAUGCAUCCAAACUCUCUUUAAGAUGUCUCUAAAAAUGACUCGAAAAACAAAGUCAAAGUUGAGUAGCAGUUGAACCACCUAGGAGCAUAUGAACAAACGCAUACAAAGGGAAAACCACACAUCUACUAUACGAAAUAGGAUGGAAUAUGAAGUUGUGAGGACAAAGUGUACAAAGAUUAGAGUCACCCAAAUUUAAAGGAAAUGAUGGGACGCGGUCGUAAUGAUCAGAAUCACCAAACCCAAGGAAAGAUCGGACGUAGUCGCCAUGAUUGAAAACACUUAAAACAGAUAGAAUGCGGUUGCUAUGACCGAAAUCACCAAAAAACAGACGGGACGCGGUCUCAAUGACUCAAACUGAAUUGACAUGACAAUGAUUGAUCGAUAUAGGUGCGGCCCAAAAAAACUCAAAUUGAACUGACAUGACAAUGAUCGAUCGAUAUAGGUGUGGUCCUGAAAAACUCAACCUGAACUAACAAGAUGAAUGAUCGAUCGAUAUAGGUACGGUCCUAAAAUUUGAACUAGCAAGAUGAAUGAUCAAUCGAUAUAAGUGUGGUCCUAAAAACUCAAACUGAACACAAACUGACGGGAAGAUGGCUGAUCGAUAUAGGUGCGGUCCCGAAAACUGAACUGACAAGAUGAAUGACCGAUCAAUAUAGGUACGGUCCCAAAAACUGAACUGACAUGGAAAUGAUCGAUCAAUAUAGGUGCGAUCUCGGAAACUGAAUUGACAAGAUGAAUGACCGAUCAAUAUAGGUGCAGUCCCAAAAAUUGAACCGACAAGAUGAAUGACCAAUCGAUAUUGGUGCGGUCCCAAAAACUAAAACUAAACACAAAUUGACAGGAAGAUGGCCAAUCGAUAUAGGUGCGUCCCAAAAAACUCAAACUCAAACUGAUAAGAUAAUGAUCGAUAGAUAUAGGUACAAUCCCAACUCGAAUUGAACACAAACUGACAAGAAGAUGGUCGAUCGAUAUAAGUACGGCCACAAAAACUCAAACUCAAAUCAACAAGAUGAUGACUGAUCGAUAUAGGUGCGGUUCCAACUCAAAUUGAACACAAAUUGACAGGGAGAUGACUGAUCAAUAUAGGUGCGGCCUUAGAAACUGAAAUCUAACACAAGAUGGUAGGAAGACGGCUGAUCGAUAUGGGUGUGACCCCAAAACUCUAAACUCAAACUGACAAGAUGAUGACUAAUCGAUAUAACUGUGGUCUCAACUCGAACUGAAUACAAACUGAUAGGAAGAUGAUUGAUUGAUAUAGGUGCAACCCUAGAAACUGAAAUCUAACACAAGAUGAUAGGAAGAUGACCGAUUGACAUAGGUACAGCCUCAAAACUCUAAACUUAAACUAACAAGAUGACCGAUUGAUACAGGUGUGGUCCCAGAAAUUGAAAUCUAACACAAGAUGAUAGGAAGAUGGCCGAUCGAUAUAGGUGCGACCCCAAAACUCUAAACUCAAAUUGACAAGACGAUGACCGAUCGAUAUAAGUGCGGUCCCAACUUUAACUGAACACAAACUGAUAGGAAGAUGACCAAUUGAUAUAGGUGCGACCCCAAAAACCUAAACUCAAAUUGACAAGAUGAUGACCAAUCGAUAUAGGUGUGGUUCCAACUCGAACUGAACACAAACUUAUAGGAAGAUGACCGAUUGAUAUAGGUACGAUCCCAAAAACCCAAAUUGAACUGACAAGAUGAAUGACUGAUUAAUAUAGGUGCGGUCCCAACUCGAACUGAACACAAAUUGACAAGAAGAUGAUCGAUUGAUAUAGGUGCCCCAAAAACCCAAACUUAAACUAACAAGAUAAUGACCGAUCAAUAUAGGUGCGACCUUAACUCGAAAACUCAAACUCAAACUGACAAGACAAUGAUUGAUCGAUAUAGGUGCAACCUUAACUCGAAAACUCAAAACUCAAACUGACAUGACAAUGAUCGAUCGAUAUAGGUGCGGUCCCAAAAACCCAAACUCAAACUAACAAGAUGAUAACCGAUCGAUAUAGAUAUGGUCCUAACUUAAACUGAACACCAAUUGAUAGGAAGAGGACCGAUUGAUAUAAGUGCGGUCCUAAAAACUGAACUAACAAGAUAAUGAUAUGAUCAAGUGGCUUAAAGCCAAAUGAUAACUAAGAUAACGAUGCAAGCAAACUCGACAGGAGAGGAUAUGCCCCAGUAUGACAACUAAUAAGGAUCGACAACUAGGUCAAAAGAUAAUGAAACCUAUGAAAGAUUCGUUGAUCCCAUGGAAGGAGGGUAUGCCCCAAUAUGUAAUUCGCAGGGGUCAACAACUAGAUCAAAAGGUGAAUAAAAGUCUGCUGAAAGGUCUAGUGUUGUCGGAAAAGGGGGUAUGCCCCAGAAUGUGACGGUGAACAAACUGAAAUAUGAAAUGCCACAAAACUACUAAACUCUGAAAUAUGCUCAUCCAUCAUGUAAUGAAAAUGUCUAACCUCAAAUAGGUAAUGCCAGACAAGACCAUGCAUCAUGAUACCAUGCUAACAAAACAGAACUAACUGAUUAAUAAAAACAAUGAUGACCAGUGCUCAAAAUGCAAAGAGCAAGUAAAUCAACACUCAGCAUGCCAAAUGUCAAAAUGAAAGCAUCAUCACCAAUAAAUCAAUAAUCUGUCAGGCCUUGCUAUCAUGGAAGAUGUUGAACCUAAAGUCCAAAAGAUGUAUGAAAGCACAACCAAAGAAAUCGAGGAUUGAUCUACAUCUUCUCCUAAUCGAGAGAGGGGUGUGAGGUCAUGUGUCACUGUGAGAUGUGUGGGAUGGAAGGAAAUGAUCAGACUUUGGUAGGAUAGAUAUAAGUAUGAAAAUAUCACAGGUGGAAUGUUUGAGUAUGAAAUGAAAGAUAGGUAGGUAUUGGCGAUCAUCCAAGUAUGCUGAGAAGACUAAACCUAAGGUGUCAAUAACUUCAUAAUCCAUCGAAAGCAACAAUCAUAAUCAAGAGGUCAAGUCUCGAUGUCAAAACAUCCAACAAAGUGGCUAUUCCCCAGUAUGCAAUGAGGAUAACAUGAAAUAAUCCAAUGAUCUCCGUAUCACUCGUCAAAUACUCUAGCAUAAAGAAUCAAUCAAAUCUCCCUCCAAAAGAUGGAUAUGCCCCAGUGUAGAUGAUCCAAUAAGGUGGCUACGUUCCAGCAAAAAACACUCUCCAUCAUGGCUGUGCUCCAGUAUAAAGUAGUGUAUCCAAGCCAACAAUUGCUGAGAGACCAUGCUUAGUGUACAUCAACAAAUCAAUCAAUCAAUCUCAAUUCCCACUGUUGAAAAUGAAAAUAUCUCAACAUGAUCCAUAUGAAUCAGAAUCCCCGUGCUCUAUGAGUGCGAAUGAAGUGGCCACUCCUCAGUAUAAACCAUCUGAAGUGACUAUGCUCCAAGAUAAAUCAAAGUUCAUCGUUAAUGAGAGGGCUAUGUCUCAGUAUGUGUCCUCAGAACAAGGCCAAUCUCAUCCUUCAAUGCUGAAAAUGAAAAUACCAAUAUAAUGUCAACAAACCCUAAUCACCCUAUGCUUCACAAGAAACAAUAAAGUGGCUAUGUCUACCAUGCACAAUCUUUGAAGCAAUUAUGCCUCAAAAUAAACCAUCUCAAAAAUCAACCAUCGAUGAAUGGAGCGUGUCCCAAUGUAGAAUAUCGAGUAGAGUGAUUAUAUCUCCAAUAAAAGUGCUCUUUGAAAUGGCUAUGCUCCAGUGUAGGGUCAUCCCACAACUCCUAAUCCAUCAUAACCCAAGUGAAGAGGAAAACUGGUUAUGCCCCAGUGUAAGGCAUCAUCCCAAUAAUCCAUCAUCAAUAAGAAAACUAUGCCUCAAUAUACGUCAUCAACUCAAAAAUCUAUCAUCGAUGAGCAGGGUAUGCCCCAGUGUAUAUCACAUCAUCUCAUAAAAUCCAUCACUGAUAAGAAGGGUAUGCCCCAAUGUAAUCCAUCGCAUCAAUUCCCCAUUCAUCAUGCUCCAAGAAAUAAUCUCCAACCAAUCUCAAGUAUUGCCUAUGUGUGAGCCGUCAAGCACUAUAUGUGAGGUCAUGGCCUCAGGGUGUUCUUAAGACAUGGGACGUAACAUAGACUAAGGUCUUAGGGUGAAAUCAACGAAAGGAAACUAGGCUUAAUAAUCCCAAUGAUAUAAUCCCCAUACCCCUCAUGCAUGAGAUGCAAUGCGUAGAAAAUAUCAUGAGUCGUGGGCCUAAGGAUCCCCACACAAAAAGUGAUGAUAAAGGAAUGAACAUAUCGAAUAAGCAAGAAUAAAGUGUGGAUGUUGAACCCAAGUCAAACAUCAAACAGGAUGAGAAAAUAAAGAAAUCAGAUGAGGUAGAGUGAAAUGGAGGAAUAAAAUAAAUAUAGGAGAAGACAAAAAGAUAGGAAAGUGAGUGAUGGUCAACCUACAUUAAGGCAUGGAGAUAACUCACAUAAAAAAGGAUGUAAUGACAAAUAGGGCGAGAAUCCAAAAAUCCUAAAGAAAUGUUGGUUUGCCUCUUAUAAAAAUCAAAUAGGCAACUCAUACUCUCACCCAAAAUAUAUACUAAGAUAGAAUCUCAUAAAUAAGCUCCUAUACGAACUCUCUCUAACACAUAAACUUAAUGAAGCAAACUAGCACAUCCAUACACGUGCUCAAUGGAGAAUGAUACAAUGAAGAAUACACUAUUUUUUUAUCUCUUAGGUUUUUUUUUUUUUUGUUUUUUUUUUUCACAUACUCUGAUCAAUAAUGAAUGACCUCCCAUGAAAAUACAUACCCAAAAGAUCAAACCCUCUCCACAUACAGAUGUAACAUGAAUCCUCACUAACAAGACAACCUCUCAAAUUGAGAUCUUUGAACCACUGCCCAUGGGGUGAAUGGGGGGAAAAAUGUGAAAAUCCUCCAUGCAGUGACGUGUGAAAAACCAUCACUCAAGGUGAAACAAGGAUAAUGUCAAGCAAUGAUGAGAGAAAAGACAGAGAACAAAUAUCACAAGUGGUGAUAUAUGAUGCCAAAAAAAGUGAUAAGAUGAUGUCAUAGUGGAAAAUAUCAUAAUGAAGAGUGAGAGAUGAGGCUUGAAUAUGUUUGUCAGGUCUAGAACUCAUGACAUAUCUAAUUAAAGCAUGCAAGCACUAUAGGGUCCCCAACUUGGUGUAAUGGGUAAAUGAGGUGAUGAAAUAAAAGGUUAUGGUGCUCGUGUGAGGCUCAAAGGGCUAGCAAUGGGUAACUCUAUAUGCAAGGGUGAUAUGGUAAAUAAGCUCUUGAAAUGAUGGCCACCCAUCCUUUGACCACAACCUCGAACAUUGUGCUUUCAAGAUCUCACAUGGCCAAUACUAAAGACUAGCAUCCGUCCAACAUAGUCAUGUCAACAUCUCUGAAAUCGUGUGAAAGCUCCUUCUGAUGCUCUAUGAUAAUCAUCAAUGUCUUCCGACAAUCACCUCACUUUAUCAUCAUAAGCCACUCACCAUUGUCUCAUAAAAUCACCAUCUCUAGUCAUCCUAACUCUCUGAAGUCAUGUGCAAUGGCUCAGAUCUGGAUGCUCUAUGACAAUCCCUCUGCCUCAACAAUAUCAUCAAACAGUCAAACCACCUUCUCANNNNNNNNNNNNNNNNNNNNNNNNNNNNNNNNNNNNNNNNNNNNNNNNNNNNNNNNNNNNNNNNNNNNNNNNNNNNNNNNNNNNNNNNNNNNNNNNNNNNNNNNNNNNNNNNNNNNNNNNNNNNNNNNNNNNNNNNNNNNNNNNNNNNNNNNNNNNNNNNNNNNNNNNNNNNNNNNNNNNNNNNNNNNNNNNNNNNNNNNNNNNNNNNNNNNNNNNNNNNNNNNNNNNNNNNNNNNNNNNNNNNNNNNNNNNNNNNNNNNNNNNNNNNNNNNNNNNNNNNNNNNNNNNNNNNNNNNNNNNNNNNNNNNNNNNNNNNNNNNNNNNNNNNNNNNNNNNNNNNNNNNNNNNNNNNNNNNNNNNNNNNNNNNNNNNNNNNNNNNNNNNNNNNNNNNNNNNNNNNNNNNNNNNNNNNNNNNNNNNNNNNNNNNNNNNNNNNNNNNNNNNNNNNNNNNNNNNNNNNNNNNNNNNNNNNNNNNNNNNNNNNNNNNNNNNNNNNNNNNNNNNNNNNNNNNNNNNNNNNNNNNNNNNNNNNNNNNNNNNNNNNNNNNNNNNNNNNNNNNNNNNNNNNNNNNNNGUACCAAAGGGUGGUGUCAUGUUAAGCUCAAAAUGGAUAGGUCAUCAAGUUUACAAAGUCAAGAUAUGGAUAUGGAUAUGACACUGCUCUGAUUAGAAGGUGAAAUGGGUCACAGUCUUGAAUUCUCUAGGUCGAUCUUAUGAUCCUAGGUCAAUAGGCUCAAUAUCCUCCAUGAUAGGUCAAGAAAAAGUGAUCACGAUGUAUAAGUGAAAAGAUCUCUCAUAUCGAAAGCAUAAUACAUAUCAAGGCAAGAUAUGUAAAGCAUACUCAUGAGAAAGAGAAUAACACAUAUUUAGAAUAAAAAGAUCAUAUCACUAAAUGAACCAACGAGUACAUCAUGUGUGAAGCGGUAAAGGACUACAAACGAACUGCACUCUCAACAUGAACUAUAAACAAUGACUCUGAACCAAACUGGACUCAACAAAACAAAAAUAACUUUGAUGAACUAAAAACUGGACUCGACAAAAUAGAAAUGACUUUGAUGACGAUCGUAAUCAAAAUGAAAAGUGCUCUGAGCUAAACUGCUACAAAGUGAUGUACCCAUGUCGACUGAACCAAGUCCUCAACCCGGAAUAUCCCAAAAUACCAUAUGACCAUCAUUAUCAUCAACGUCCAAAUCAAUCUAUUGAAGACUAGGAAGAUGAGAAAUUGCAUGUGUAGAAUGCGUAAGUAGGGGAUUGGUGGUCACACUUGGCCCAAACAAGUUGACCAACCCUAAAUCAAUCAAGUCCUGUAUCGCAUGAUGGAGCGCUGCACAACGCUUAGUAUCAUGCCCCUGAAUCUGAUGAUCUAAGCAAUGCUCAUGAAAGCGGAAAUGAUGAGGAAUAGGAUGUGGCAAGGGGUGUGGUGCCAAAGGAACAAUCAAACCAGCAUAUUUGAGCUUCUCAAAAGCUUUAGUCAAAGUCAUGCCCAAUGGAGUGAACUGUCUCGCAGGCCUCUAUGCAUAUGGUUUAGGCGGUGGGAAAGCAGUGGCUCUCAAAUGUAGUGGUCGUGGCUGCAAGCUAGUUUGAGCAAUGUAAGACUGCUAAACAUAAACUGGAUGAUACUGAUACUGUGGAUGAGAUAAAUGAGCUCUGACUAUAGGAGACCUGUAAGGUGAGUGAUGUGCGGGCCUUUGAUGUUGAUAGUUAAUAGUGUCAACCUCUCCAGAUCUACUAGAUGAUCCAACCGGCUUCUUCCCCUUACUGUCAGGGGAAGGAGCAGUAUCUGUCCAUAAUCCUCGAGCAAUGACCUCCUUAACACUGAAAGUUGCAUGAACUAGACUCUUAAGAUCCUGAAAUGGAAUGCCCACAAGGUGUCUAGCAAACCGCGACUGUAGGUUCCAAAGAACCAUAUCAAUCUGAUCUUGCUCUUUAGGCCGGUUUAUCAUACCAGCCAUCGUUACCCUCCAACGAAUGACAAAGGAAGAAAUAGACUUGUCUAGCUUCUAUCUGGUGGCCUCCAACUCUCGUUUAGAUACAUCAAUGUCAGCAUUGAAAGCAAACUGAGUCAGAAACUCAUGAGCCACAUCCUCUCAGGUGUGAAGUCUCAAAGGCUCAACUAAAGCAAACUAUCUCUAAGCUACCCCACUAAGUGACAUAGGGAAAAGGGCCACCAACUGUGCAUAUUUCAUGUGCUCUUAUAACUGUGUUUUAUAGUCUCAAGUGGAUCUUAGGACAACCAAUCCCACUAUAAUGCUCAAUGUUUGGCAUGCAAAACUUGGCAGGCAAGCUAGCAGUCAAUAUGCCAUCUCUAUCAUCCCAAGUCAAACCUCUAUCCUAUAAUCCGAUUUGUCUCAUCUUGGACUCAAGCCUCUUAACCUUGGCCUCUUGCUCAGCCAAUCUAGUAUCAUCAGUAAUAGUAACAAUGGGAGGUGUCACUGUGGUAGCAAGUGGUGGAGCAGUCUCAUAAUGAUUUGAUAGAUGGAAUGGAAUGCCAUGUAAAGUCCCAAGUAGAAGAACCUGCACUGUCUGAGAUGCAUGGGGAAUUGUCUCGUUAGUGCUAAUGCCAACCAGAUGAUGAUCCUGGCAAGAACUCUCUAUCUGAUCCAAAUUUCUAUUGACCCUUGCUAUGAACUCCUAAAUAAAAGCAAGUGUAGAAGAUAGCUCAUCUGGCAUCUUAUCUAAACUGUUUAAACUUUGAUGUGAAUCUACUCUGACCAAUCGACCUCCAACUCUUCUCCAAGAAUGUGACUCCAGACACAACCAAUUCCUAAACUGACUCCCUAUAAUGCAAACGAAAUUGAUGAAGGACACAAGAUAGAACCCUAAAAGACAACCAUACAACAUGCAAACACAUGGUCCUAAGGUGGCAAUCCGAAAUCUGGAUGUAUAAUGAGAACUCUGGAGUCAUAAAGGUGUUCAUUAUGAUAUGACUACAGAUGUGACUAGAGAAUUUGUAUCAAUAAUCCAAGAUGAAAGAGGUGUGAGAAACACACUAUCACGAGAUUGAUACUCCAUCUAUAAACACAUAUCUUUAGCUCAACCUUCAACUCGAGCUCCAUGAAGAGAAAAGAUGAUAAGGUGAUCAAGGUGAAUCUCUUGAAAAAAGUGUAAAUGUGAAAACCCUUUCACCUUUCUAUAAUGAAAAUAUAAGCAUCAAGUCGAAAAUUGAAUCAAGGAUUGUAUAAAGAAUGGGGUAUUGGGCCCUUGAUAAGUGUACAAUGUAAAAAGAUGAUCAUGAUCAAUGAACAUAUCCCAAUGCAUCAAGUAAAGGACAACCAACUGAAAGGACAUGUCAAGCCAAGAAAGUAAGAUGAAAACCCUAGGGAGAAAAACAUGUUAAACUCAACGAGAAACUAGAAGGAGUCAAUACUACAUCUCUAAGCACUUUCAAUUGGAGACCAAAAGAGAGAGUAUUGGAUCCGAACUGUAACUAAAGAGGCUCUGAAGGCCCUUAAAUGUACCCACGUGUAGAAUAGAAGUCCUAGUCGAAAUAUCUAAGGCUCAACCUACAAGGUCAAGGUGGCUCUAAAAGGGAAAGAACGGACUUUAAAAGAUCCCUAGCAGAAGCUAUCAUACCUUCCGAUGGUAUGCCAUCCUUUACACGCCUCCGAAGAGACCCCACUUCCAUGCAAGGUGGUCAUCACCUUCACACAUGCACUACCUCGACAUCUCAAGGGGUUUUCUAUAGUGAAAACUCUCACAACUCUCAGCACUCAAUAGUCAACUAAAGUCCACAGUGAGUGGUGUGGGUGCAUCUAAAGAUCCUAUAAAGCUAAAAUGGAAAAAGAAACACAUUGGUCACACAAAUAUCCAUGAAACCUAGCUCUGAGCUAUACAGGUCUUUAGAGAUCGGACUCCAAUCAGCAUCAAUAUGUCGACCUCCUCCAAAAUGCUCCCAAACAUCGAUAUAGUCCAUCACUAGACCUUAGUCCAAAUCACUAGCUUGGUCGGAGAGCAAAUAAAGCAGCAAGUCUCAUAUCAAAUACGAGAGCAAGAAAAACUAGUUCGACUGAGACUAAGGAAUUGGAAAUAAGGGGAUAAGUGUGAGACCUUCACAGACAAGCAACACAUGCAUCAUGCAAAAGAAGAGAGGUCAUGUAACAAGCAGUCAAGAAAACCACAGGUAUAUCAUCUAAAUCUACACACAAGCUAAGCAAGAAAUAUGAUAAUCAUGAUGUAUAUCUAGUAAGGAUAGCAUGCUUCAUGAUAAUCAUGAUAAUAUACAACUAAGAGAAUCAAUCAUGUCAAGAUGAACGAGAUAAGCAACAAGAAGAAUGUACACGUCAAGGUGAGCAGAGUAGUCAUAUAGCAAGAGAAUCAAUAUGCUAAGACAAUAAAGAGAAUCAAUCAAUGUCAUUAGCAUGUUAAUGUCCCAAAUGAAUAUGGUAGUCAAGCAGAGGAAAUCAUCACAUCAAACUCUUAGUGUGCAAUGAACACUCAAUCAUAGAAAAACACAAAGGGAAGAUAUCCAUCAACCAACUAAUCAAAUGCCACAUUUGCCUCAUCUUAAGUUCAAGUUUGACCCUCUAGUGAUCCCCAAUGGAGUCACCAUUUUGUGGACCUCGCAUUUCGCUCAAUGCGUUCCCAAUCGAUGGCAAAACUCAUUUUUUUUUUUAAUUUAUUUGGUGAAAAUUUGAUUUUUAGAAAAGAUUGGGAGUCGCCACUUAUUUUUGUUUAUUUUUUUUAAGGGAAAACAACAUAAGAAAGAAAACUCUAAGUGUGACUCUUUAUUUAGAAAAGACAGUCUACGAAAAACUAAACCUAGGUUCGGGGGUCAGGUUGUUUAUUGGGAAGAUACGGUAAAGACCGUAGCAUUCCUCUAAGACCUUAAAAACGGGUCUCUACUAAAGAAAGUGAACCAAGUGUGACAAUUAACUAGGAGAUCAAUGGAUACCAAAAUGAUCAUAGAUCAAAAGCAAGUCAAGAUAACGAAUAAAAAAAAAAUGAGAGUGAGAGCGUACCUUGACAGCAGGUAAUAAAGCGCUAUCAUGAAAUAGAGUUAGUGCGCAAUAAUAAGUGUAAAAUGUCUCAUACAAAAUCAAUCAAAAUCAAACAAUAUCAAUCAUGCAAUUCACUUGAAUUAUUUUAGAAAGAAAUGUUAUGAAUGUUGGGUUCCCACCAAAGCCCAAUUGAUUUUGCAUGAAUUAAUUCCACAAAUUCCAUUGUUUUGAAAUUAUAAAAAUUGCAUUCAUGCUUAUUAAAAAUCAAGGAAAAUGAAAAACUAUUUUAAAAUCAAAGAAAAUUUGUGAAAGUGCUUACCUGAAAAGAAAGGUAGCAAAUUUAUUUAAAAACAAGAUUUUUAGUGACUUAAAACCCUAAUGAAGAAUGAAAAGUUAUAAAAUUAAAAAUAUUUGAAAACUAGAAUGGAAUUAAAAUUAUUUGAAAGAAAACUAGACUGUUGAAAAUUGAAAUCUUGAAAAUUAAAUUUAAAAAUUGGAAUUUUGAAAAAAAUAAUUGAAAAUGGGAGUUUUGAAAAUGGGAAUUUUGGAAAAUUAUUUGAAAAUGGAAGUUUUGAAAAUUAUUUGAAAAUUAAAAUUUUGGAAAAUUAUUUGAAAAUGAAAAUUUUGAAAAUUGAAAUUUUGGAGAAUUAUUUAUGAAUGGGAGUUUUGAAAAUUGAAAUUUUGGACAAUUAUUUAUGAAUGAGAGUUUUGAAAAUUAAAUUUGAAAAUUGAAGUUUUGAAAAUUAGUUUUAAGAAUUUGAGUUUUGAAAGGAAUAAGAGUUUUGAAAAUUAAUUGAAAAUUGGAGUUUUAAAAAAUUAAAUUUAAGAAUUGGAGUUUUGGAAAUUAUUUGAGAAUUGGUAUUUUGAAAAUUAAAUUUAAGAAUUGGAGUUUUGAAAAUUAAUUUUGAAAGAAAUUAGAGUUUUGGAAAUUAGAGUUUAAAAAAUUAUUUGAAAAUUGAUAUUUGGAAAUUGGAAUUUUGAAAAAUUAUUUGAAAAUGAAAGUUUUGAAAAUUAAAUCUUGGAGAAUUAUUUGAGAACGGGAUUUCUUAAAAAUUAAAUUUGGAAAUUGGAAUUUUGAAAAUUAUUUGAAAAUGAAAAUUUUGAAAAUUGGAAUUUUGAAUAAUUAAAUUUAGAAAUUGAAGUUUUGAAAAUUAAAGUUUUGAGGAUUAAAUUUGAAAAAUUGGAAAUUUGAAAAUUAUUUGAAAAUUAAAGUUUUGAAAAUUAAGUUUGAAAAUUGGAGUUUUGAAAAAUUAUUUGGAAAUGGAAGUUUUGAAAAUGAGAAUUUUGGAAAAUUAAACUUUGAUAUCAAAAUAUGAAGAAAUAAAUAAAUAAAUAAAUAAAUAAUAAUAAAAAGAGUUGUGGUAGUUAGGAUUGCAGGCCAAAGGUGGUCGUGCAUGACUGUGGGCCCAAGCCGGGGUGCAAAGGUCAAAUACUUAUUUAAAGAAGGAAAACCCAUUUCCAUUUUACACAUGUUGUCCCCAUUUUUGACAUACCUAUGAGGAAUAUUAGUAACAACAAGUCUAGCCUGGUGCGCCAAAAAUUGGCUUAUCUGCUACAAUGUAGGGCCUUGAACUGGGGCGCAUGAAAACAUCGCUUUGAUAAGGUUUUUUGCCACCUCUUCCUCUUCUCCUCCCUCUGUUUUUUUUUUAUGAAGGCAAAGUUUGGUUGUGAGGUUUGGCGUUCUGAGGUUCAUAGGAUGGGUGGCAUUUCCCAUUUUGAGUAUUUUAUUUAUUUAUUUUUUUUGGGAGGGGGGGGCUUUUGAACUGGGUAGAGCUGGCAGACCAAGGUUGCCAUGAGGUGGAGGUUGGAAAGUUUGGUGGAUGAUUGGUUUGAGAGUUGGGUUUGGUGGGUGUGAAAGAUGGUAGUGAGUAUGAUAUAUGAGAUGAGCUGAACGGGUGAGUGUGAUGUGGUGAUCGGGUUAUGAUAGGAUGAUAGGGGUUGAUAGCUUUGAAGAGAGUUUGAAUGGCCAUGUAUGGCCAAGCAGAGAUGGGAAGGAUGAUGGGUAUGGUGGGUAUGAAACGAGUGGGGUAAGGUUUGGAGAGAUGAGAGUAUCCAUGUGCAUAUAGUAUUGUGUUAUCCAUUCUUUCAAUGUUGUAAAAGUGCAAUCUUUUCAAAAAGGCCCCAUCUACAACAUUAUCCCCACUAAGAGCAGUUAAGUAGGAUCUGGAAAGAGUAGAUGAUUCCUUUCCAUGUCUAGAUCUUUUAACGUUCCAUGAAUACCCAACUGCAUAUAUAGAAUUCCUGAUAGUAUAAACCAAUGGUUGAGAAGAUCUAGGUGUCAAAGUUGGGCCAAAAACUAUACCAAGCCUAAGAGACCUAGAUAACAAACACUCAUUGAAGGACUUUUCCAGCUCAUUGGAUCAUUAUAGACACAACUGCAUUGUUGACCUUUGGAACUACUGUCGUCAAGUCAGCAUUGGCAUAGCACAAAGGAUCCAUGGCACACUUAUGAAACAUUGAACAAUUAGUUGCAGUGUAGCAUAGGCUUUGCGUAUCUAGCAUAGAAAAUUCCUGGACCAAAACGACAAGCUCUUCCUCUACUCAGCUUGAAAUCACCUCCCUAUAGCUUCUCUUGCUUACAACUCCCCCAUGGUUUCAAACUCUUUUUCUCAGUUCUUUCCCACUCUCCCUCAUGCUCUGUUUUCGCCCGCAAAAUCUUGCUUCACAGAAUCAGCCAACCCACAACUAUCUUCCCAACUAUUUUGAAAUUAACUCCCUAUUUUCACAUUCUCUCAAAAACUUCCCUUUGUUUCAACUCCCUCUUUUUUUUUCUCCCUCCUUCACCUGGAUAUCUCCUAUGUUUUCUUUGCUCUAAAUCCCUCCAUACCCUCUACAGCUCCUCACGUUUUCCUUCUUUCUCAAGCUUUCACCAGUUCUCCUGCUCUUGGUUCAGCAAAGACAUCACCACCAGCUCCAUUGCUUCAACCACCACCAUAGCAAGGUGGUCACGUCCUUCGCCACAUCUCCCAUGCAACCCACCUGGAAGCCAUCCCCCGCUCUAAAUGAAAUGUCUAGCCAACCUCUCCGGGUAUGAGAAAAAUCCCUUGGUCCAAGAGGGGUCUAUAGUUAUGUUUUUGUGAACCCCGUAUUUAUGCUCAUGCGCUUCCACUCGAUGGCGAACUUGUUUUUUUACUUGAAAAUGAUUUAUUUUUUUACAAAAUAACUUAGAGUUGCCACUUAUUUUUGUUUUAUUUUUUAAAGGAAAACAAAAUAAGAAAGAAAACCAUAAAUGUGACUCCUUAUUUGGAAAAGAUGGUAUGUGAAAAAUCGAGUGGGAUCUAGGGUCAGGUUACUUAUUGGGAAGGUACGACAGAAACCGUAGCACCCCUAUAAGCCCCUAAAAUGGGUCUUUACUAAAUAAAAUGAAGCAAGUGUGACAAUUGAUUAAUUAAACAUGGAUACCAAAAGAACAUCAAUCUAAAAAUAAUUGAAUGAACAAGAGAGGUAAAGAGUGUACUCGAGUAAUGAGUUGAUUGCUUCAUGGAAAAUAAAGGUUAGUAAACGAACAUAGGAUAAUCACAUGUGUUACAAAGCAAAUCAAUCAAGCACGAUAAUCAAUCAGUCAAUGAAAAUAAAAACAUCACUGAUGUUGGGCCCCUACCAAAGCCCGAUUUAUUUUUGCAUGAAUUAAUUCCAUAAAUUCCAUUACUUGGAAUUAUAGAAUUUGAUUCAUGCUUAUUUUAAAACAUUUUUAAAAAUUAAGGAAAAUGUAAAAAUUGCUUGUCGAAGUGGCAGCAACUUUAUUUGAAAAUGGGAUUUUUGGUAAGCUUAAAAAUUCUAAGGAUGUAAAAUUGAAGAAUUAAAUUUAUUUGAAAAACUAGAAUUGGGAAAAUUAUUUUGCAAAAUGGGGUUUGGGAAAUUAUUUUUAAAAUAAAAAAUGAAUAAAUGAAAGAAAGCCACGUGGUUACUAGGGUUGCAUGCCAAAGAUGGCCAUGCAAAUUGGAAACACAUAAGAGUGGGCUCAGGGUGGAGUGAUGCUGGCAAAAACGAGGGCUUAUUCUUUUGAGUAUCGUCUUUCAUCCUGUUUUCUCUACUUGAUAUGCUAGAAUACUCCCAUUACUCAUGAUAACUGAAAGUUCCAUAUUGAGAAGGUGAGCAAGCACGGGGGACAGUUAAUGUAACAGCCAUUUGCAAUGCAGCCUUGGACUCCUCACUGUAUUCUCUCUUUAAAGUCUCAUGCCUCUCCAUUUUCUAUUUUGCUGGGAUCUCCAUGAUCUUAUCUUUUCCUAGUAUAAAAUCUGGAGCUCUUUGGGCUUCUCUCUCUAUCCAAAUGAUAGCAUGGUUGGAAGUGGCAUUACUAGGAAGAACAAUAUGCUCAAACCUCCCAUCUACAAGUACAACUAUCCUCAUAAUCGGGGGAAAUCUUCCCAUCCUGAAAAGCUUUAUCUCAACAAUAUGAUAGAGGCGACUAGGUGCAUACAACCUCUUAGGAUCUCUGAGCAUCUUCUCUUCAAGGGUGUAUAUAUCUCUCAUGCAUUUUAGGCAUGAUAAGCAUGGCAAAUAGAACAGUGACUUAAAAAUGUCUUCCAAGGGGGUGGCUGUCCGAGGUAGAAAGUCAUACUGGAGCACAACAGAGUUGAUGAGAUCUACAUAUCUCACUGCCAAAUUUAACGAGAUGCACCUUGCAGGUGCAAUUGCAUAGCACCUAAUCCUCUUCCGGUCAAUAUUGGCCAAUUUAUCCUUAUUAUGCACCAUCACCAUUGUCAAUAGUGCAAUCACCCCUGAUUCGAGGGGAUGACCAGUAAAAGCCAAAGUGUAAUUUGGAUACUUCUCCACCAAUUCCCUUUAAACAUCAUAUUCUGUAUCCAAAACUCACUCAACUGCCCUCAAAAGCCCAUCAUGCAAGGCUCAAUAUUGUGUGAGAAAGAGUGCACCAUGCACAUGGGAGCUUGUUUCUCAGGUGGGUCUCUUAAGGCACCAUAAUUUUCUAUUAGGUGAGGGUUUACCAUUUGCGUGUUGCACUUGGCACCCAGAAUUCCUGACUCAAGCAGCGGUUUCUAGAAAUACAAACACCUCUUAUCAACAUACAACCUCGCAUUGACAUUGUCUAAUGCAUUGAUAAUGACACUCAAAUUCUCCCAAAAUGCAUCAUUAAACACAUUCUCUGUCUCAAAGCCCACACGAUUUUGCAAGUGGAGACUAGGAUUUAUUGUUUGAGCAAUAGAAGCAACAAUAGUGGAUUAAGCCUGCCCAAUGUUCCAAUUACGGAAGAGGAACUGCCUACUAAGGUUACUUUUUCAAUCACAUCAUCAUGAGUAAUCGUUAGCUUCCCUUGAUUGCCAUAUGAAACUCCCAUCAGAGCUACAUUUUUAAGAACUCACAACCUAGCGCACCAGAUCCCACCAUGAGCACUACAACAUCCUCUAGUUUCUUUUAUAGCUUAGACCCAAACACCGAGAUCUAUGCAUCAUAACGACUAUUCAAUGGUUUGAAAUCAUUGAAAUCUGGUGCCUCUGUAGGAAGUGACUCCAUUGAGACGAAGUAGAAGAACUGAAAAAGUGGAUGAAACUUUCCAAAGCAUGCCUUCACAACCUCCUGUCCCCACAAUACCACCAAACAUAGCAGCCAUGGGAUUUAAUACCGUCCCUUCAAGUCCAAUAGCCAGAAGCUCCACAGUUGCAGGGCCCAUGGAUGAUGCAAAGUCCAACUGGUCCCACUUCACAAGCUCUUCUUCACAUAAACUUCAAUAGUGCAAUGAUAUAAUCAAUCCCUGGAAGACUGAACAAUUCCUGCUUGUUCUAAACCGCGACUGCCAUCAACUUUGAUUUGUUUCCAUGUUUAUGGAUGUAGUUAUAAGCCUUGGUCACCAAAGCCAAACCAAGAUCUUCCUUUUUUUUAAGAGCAGCUUCUAUCUUAGGGUCACCAGAAUGAUUGCAGGCCCAAUCCUGACCAUGACCAACAAAAAUCUGAAUAGCAAAAACACCAGCUUGAGGAGUAGCUGCAACUUGACAAAAACUUCAUGAUAAUGCCAUGUGUGUCAUAAGCAAGAUGAGCAUCCACUUCAAUUGACACUCUACCAGGAACUAGUUUCAUAAGGUCGCUACCAAUGUUUACCAAAGCCUUAUUCAAGAAGCAGGACAUUCGAGCAUUGGGGCUUUCCAAUCCAUAACACACUAAAUCUACCAAUGCAGUCUCCACUACGCUCUUAAAAAUUGUAUCGAGCAAGUUGCAAAUGCCUAAGAGAAGUGAGGAGCUAAUAGUAGCAGUUAUUGGUGAAAAUCUCUUGAAAUCAUCGAAAAUGACGGUGUCUGGAAUGAUCUCACUUAAGUCUCUAGAAGUUGAGAUCAAAUUGAGGCGUAGCGAAUCGAGCUAAGAACCCUAGUCUCCCCUCCUGACGCGAAGAAAAGGAGAGCACUGAUGCACACCAUGGACAAGUAAGAAUAUGGAUAUUUGAUAGAAGCUUUGGAGGGAUUUUGGGUGGCCAUGCAAAUUGGAAGCAUGCAUGUGGGUUUGAGGUAUACCAAAGUGGGACUGCAUUGUUGUAUCUCAUGCUAAACCCUCAUUUGCAUUCUACCCUCUUCUAUGGUUAAUUUCUGCUUUAGAGCUUGAUAAACCUAGAUGAUAUUUCCUGCCAAUUUUGGAGACCCCAUUGAGAAAUACUUCCUCUUCAUCAAUCAAAAUAUGCUUACCAAGUGUACUUGAUCCAAACUCAUUCCCAAAUUAUCUCUCUGAUUUAUGAUCUUCAAAGGUUUUACAUGAAGGAAGCCCUUCAUAGCAUCCCCUUUCGUCCACUAGACCUGAUUUUGAUUAAAACAUUCCUCAUUCAGCAAGUUUGUUUGAUCUUUAGGUCCUACAUGUACCACUGCAGGUACUACAUUUUCUUUCAUGCAAUUCUUAGGAAACACAACCUUCAGAGCAUCGUCUCUAACAAAUCUAGCCUUGACCCUUCUAGUUCCAUCAGACAAAAGGCCGAAUAUCCUUAGUUUGUGUCAUUCCUUGAUGCCUAACUCAGAAAUGAUUCCAAGAACAGUCAUCCCCCAUAUUUGGCUUCAUAGAAGGACUCUUUUAUCACAUUCAGAUGACUCAUUCUAUCGUGGCCUAUGUUGGGACGUCAUUUGUUUUAUCCGGGCAGGGUCGUGGAGUAUUUUUAGCUCUGUGUCAGUCAGGGGCAAUACAGAGUGGCCUCCCCAGGAUUCGAACUCGGGUGGUGACAAGGCUCUUACCCCUUAUGUUUGCCCUCCUGGUACCAUCUGAGCGCCCAGAUGGUACCAGGAGGGCAAACAUAAAGGGUAAGAGCCUUGUCGCUACCCGAGUUCGAAUCCUGGGAAGGUCACUCUGUGAUGCCCUUGACUGGCAUAGAGCCAAAAAUACUUCGCGGCCCUACCCGGAUAAAACAAAUGACGUCCCAACAUAAACGUCGGCCUUUUUUGCUCUGGUGCCCAGCUGUACCACCGAACUGUGCCAGACGGGGGCAUCACAGCCGGAAUGGGCUGGACAACGCAGAGUCUUAUGGGGCCAUUUGUUUAUUUGGCCCUUAGAGGGUGACGUCCCCAGGAUUCGAACUCAAGACUAAGGUCUUUUUGGUUGCCCUCCUGGUACCAUUUGGGCUAGUCCACAAAGACUUUGCGCUCUGUGCGGGCAAAUGUGAGGUCUCCGGACCCGAGCAUCCCACAAACUAGAGCAAAAAAGGCCGACGUUUAUGUUGAGACGUCAUUUGUUUUAUCCGAGAAGGGCCGCGGAGUAUUUUUGGCUCUAUGCCAGUCAAGGGCAUCACAGAGUGGCCUCCCUAGGAUUCGAACUCAGGUGGCGACAAGGCUCUUACCCCUUAUGUUUGCCCGAAGUAUUUUUGGCUCUGUGCCAGUUAGGGGCAUCACAGAGUGGCCUCCCCAAGAUUCGAACUCGGGUGGCGACAAGGCUCUUACCCCUUAUGUUUGCCAUCCUGGUACCAUCUGGGCUAGACUGGCACAGAGCCAAAAAUACUCCGCGGCCCUGCCCGGAUAAAACAAAUGACGUCCCAACAGCUUAGAAUUGAAAUUUUAUUUGACAUUUGGAAACCAUCUCCUUAAAAACCCUGAUGCUAGAUAAAACAAAAGGCAUUUCUUCAAAAGAUCGAGCAACACUAGGUUGUAGCAGAUUGCUUCAAUAGAGCUCCGAUCAUUGACUUCUUCCACAGCUGAAUCUAUUGGACCGACCUGAGCUUUCCCAUAAACACCCUGACUCAGAUAGCCAACCCAAACAUGAUACCCAACAUUCCAAAAAUACUAGAAACAAAGGAGAAAGUGAAGAAAAAUAGAGCAUGUACAAAAAAAAAAUAAUAAUAAUACUGUCAAAUCUAGCUCCAUUCCAUAAAUGUCAAUGAGCUUUAAAAGCUGGUGGGAAGGUUUGAGUGAUCUUAACACAUGAACAAUGGCAUAACUAACAUGCAAUGCAUACAAGCGAAACAGAGACCAAGUAAACAUAAAUGGGAAAUAGGCUUAAUACAUUCAAGCGUCAAAACAAACAUCCAAAUAUCAGCAAGAAGCAUGGUAUGACUGUAAAAAAAUGGAGAAUAUAAGGUGUGAGAAUCUCCCUCCCUUGUUCCUCGUUUCCUCUGUAAAAGCUUUCUCCUCUUCCCCAAGCUAUGACUCGACUCUUCUUCAAAGAACACUCAUCUCUCUCAAAUUUUCUUUUUCACUUGCUCCGCGUUUCCUCAACUGAUCCUCUCAAGCCUUUUUCCCUUGCUCCCCAAGCAAUAGAACAUGCUCCUCUAUAACCAACAACAACUACUCUCUUUAGGCAACAUAACACACUCCCCCGUAACCGUCUGCAGCUCUUCCCAUUUCUUUCAAACCACCUCAGAAUAUUCCAUAUGCACGUGUCAUUCUCUCAUUGCAUCUUUAGCCCACUACAGUGAUUCCCUAAUGGCCAAUCUUGAGGCAACACAUGGCUCUAAAGUUCUUCCACCUGGCUAAAUAACACCUGCCAAAAUACACCCCAAAAUGGGGGUCUACAGUUAUACUUAUAUUUAAUUUAUUAAAUAAUUAAAAAAAUGAAUGAUAUAUAUAUAGAUAUAUAUUAUUUUCCAAUAUUUAAACUUUAUAAAUAUUUUUUUUAUCUUAUGUUAUUCAAUAUAUAAAAAUAAUUUAUACAUUAAAUAAUACAUAGAUUAGUAUUAUUUUACAAUAUAUUUUAUAAAUAUUUUUUAGUUAGUUUUUUUUAACCACAAAUUUACCUUAAGAAGAUCAGCAAACAUUAGUUCAACCAGUAAAAUUAAUCCAAUACAAUCAACAAAAACUAAUACUAACCAAGUAUAUUUCAAACGUACCAAUCAUAAUUAAUAACAUAACCUUAGUAUUACCCCAAACUUAUCUUGUACCUACUAUAAGUUUAUAUCCUAAAACGCCAAUUUUCCGGCAAAAACGGGUUUGAGGUCAAGGGUUAAGACUAAAGACUCUAGUUUUAAAACAUGAUUUUACACCCAAAAUUUUCUAAAUAAACCGAUUUUUUUUUUUUUUUUUUUUUUUUUUAUGUUGAUGAGAACGUUAUAUAAAAAGGAUCCAUGUAUAUUACAGAUAUUAACUAGUAAAGAAAACUUAAAAAUAAUUCAAAUAAUUUUCAUUUCCCUAUUUUACCUUUUUACCCCUUUUUACCCCCUAAGGGUAAGAAAAAUACAUAAUACAGAAAUUUAAAUAAAGGCAAAAAAUUUAAUAGAAAAUUCUUACUUUCUUAUUGAUUGCUGAUGAAUUUACAAAGCUGAAGAUGAUGGAGCUUCUUUUUACAAACAACUUUGCACACUAUUGCACACACUUUCUCGGGCACACUUCUUUUCUUUUACUACCACUAAUUUAUAGGCAAAGCAUUUACAAGGGACAGGUGAGAAUACAGGUGAGAAUUAAUUUCAAGUGGUUGGAUGGUAGGAGAAAUAUUUACGGUGUUCAGAGGUUUGGUAUAAAAUAAAUACAAAGACUUUUGACUUUUGAGACAUGUGACUUUUAUUCAUCCGUUCUUCUUCCUUCUUGUCUCUUUCUCUUGUCCUUUUCUUCUCUUUUUAUUACAUGCAUAAUACGUGGCUUGUGGAUGUCUUUACUGCUUCUGAACUUGUACUACCAUAUUUAAUUUUUGUAGUUGAAGACGCAUUUACUGCUUCAAUAUCGUCAUUGCUAACAUCAUCCUUCCAUUGCAUUUUGUAGAUUAUGAUAACUUUCAUCGUCCAGGUUGUCCCAAAAUAAUGCGUCAUCGCUGAGGUAGGAAGAUGGUUCCGGUAUAUCUACACUGAGUUCGGUUAUAAAAUCCUGUUCUUCAGAAGUAAUAAAAGGGUUUGGAACAAUGAUGUGUUCUAAAGGUUUUAUUCUCCAUAUAGACAUGGUUUUUGUUUCGCCAAUGAGAUGAAAUAAUUUAUUUCGGGUUGGUCUAAGAUCAUAGAUUUGAAAAGCUCUAAAGCGAGUAAAAAAUUCUGGAAAUUCAUUUGAA